rnacentral:rRNA from 1 species
CUACGGGAGGCAGCAGUCGAGAAUUUUUCACAAUGGGGGAAACCCUGAUGGAGCGACGCCGCGUGGAGGACGAAGGCCUUCGGGUCGUAAACUCCUGUCAUGCGGGAACAAGAAAGUGAUAGUACCGCAAGAGGAAGAGGCGGCUAACUCUGUGCCAGCAGCCGCGGUAAUACAGAGGCCUCAAGCGUUGUUCGGAUUCAUUGGGCGUAAAGGGUGCGCAGGCGGCGUGGAAAGUUGAGUGUGAAAUCCCGGGGCUCAACCUCGGAACUGCACUCAAUACUACCAUGCUAGAGGAAUGUAGAGGAGAGUGGAAUUCACGGUGUAGCAGUGAAAUGCGUAGAUAUCGUGAGGAAGACCAGUUGCGAAGGCGACUCUCUGGGCAUUUCCUGACGCUCAUGCACGAAGGCCAGGGGAGCAAACGGGAUUAGAAACCCCAGUAGUCC